CUCUUAUCCAGAGAGGCGGAGGGACCGGCCCUGUGAAGCCUCGGCAACCAGGUUGGUCAAGUAGUUAGACUAACCCAGGUGCCAAUUCCGGCAGAAGGUGUUUCUGGAAGAUGAGGG
rnacentral:ncRNA from 2 species